rnacentral:rRNA from 1 species
UACGGAGGGUGCAAGCGUUAUCCGGAUUUACUUGGUUUAAAGGGUGUGUAGGCGGGCCUUUAAGUCAGUGGUGAAAUCUCCAGGCUCAACCUGGGAACUGCAUUUAAGACUGUUGAGCUUGAGUAGAAUAGAGGUAAGUGGAAUUUCCGGUGUAGCGGUGAAAUGCGUAGAUAUCGGAAAGAACACCAGUGGCGAAGGCGACUUACUGGAUUAAUACUGACGCUGAGGCGCGAAAGCAUGGGGAGCAAACAGG